AAACAAUGACAAGUUGCUUCAAAUGCCAAAACGUUUGUGCACUGUCCCAAAAUGUUCUCUUGAUUUGAAUUUGCCAGUGGAGGAUAUGGAGGAAAAUGCUGAGUGUGACAGUGAUUGUGGUUCUGAAGGGUCAAAAGCAUGGUUGGAAGAAAUCUUAGAGCAAAUGGACAACAAUGUGGUCUUCAAGCCAUUUGAUUUUGGAGCUCUAGCUGAGAUAAUCUUGAAUGAAAUCAACAUAAACCUCAAGAAGAUUGUUGGAGUAGAUAUCAAGAUGGAAAUUGAUUCAGAAGUAAUGGAACAGAUACUUGCUGCUGCUUGGUUAUCAGACAAAAAAGAAGCUGUUGAGGAUUGGGUUGAGAAUGUUCUCUGCAGGAGCUUUAUGGAUGUCCGAAAUAGGUUCCAACAUAUUACUGAUAGUGUGAUAAGAUUAGUUCAUUGUCAAGGCAUUGCUGUAGAAGACCAGGCUCCUGGAAUUUACUUUCCGGCAAAAAUAACAAUAGAAUGAUUUUUAGUCAGGUCUGUUUUAAUAUACGAAUGGUGUCAAUAGCAUUUGUGCGUGCUUUAAGUUUCUUUGUGCAUAUAUUCCUGUAAUUUUGCUGAUCCUUCUCCAAUUGUUCUUCAUUGUAUCUUUUAGAAUUAGGCUAUUUUGUUGUAAUCCUUGUACACUCUCUAUCCCAGACCCUUAGUAG
rnacentral:misc_RNA from 1 species